CUACGGUCAGAUCACGUUGAAAAUUCCUGUUCCCGUACGAUAACCGAAGGUAAGCACUGUCAAGCCUGGUCAGUAAUAUAAAUAGGUGACAGCUUGGGAAUACCAUGUGCUGUUA